CCAGCUUCCCACCCCUGGUAACCACUGUUGUACUCUCAGCUUCUAUGUAUUCAACUUUCUUAGAGUCCACAUAUAAGUGAGAUCAUAUUAUGUUCUUCUUUUUGUAAAAAGGUAUGUUUUUUUCUUAAUUUUUUUUUUUUUUAAUUGUAGAGAUGGUGUCUCUCUGUGUUGCCCAGAGAGGUCUCAAAUUCCUGGGCUCAAGGGAUUCCCCUGCCUUGGACUCCCAAAGUGCCAGGAUUACAGGUGUGGGCACCAUGCCGGGCCAAAAGGCACUGUGCUUGAGAUAUUUAAACCUACUCAGGGAUGGCCGAGAAGAAUAAGUUCCUGGACCUCAGAAAUCUCAUCUGGGGCACUGGUGGCCCUUAGGCUUAGCUUGAGGGGAGGCUGGUAUGGUCCCUUCUUAAAAGAGAGUGACUGUGGUGAAAUGAGUUAGACAGAUCGGUGUUACCCAGGGCAAAUCAUUCUACCACCCUGAGGCGUAUCUAUAAGAUGGAGUUAAGGAGUCACUGGUGUGAAGAUUAAACUAUGAAUGACACCUGGCAUAUGGUUGACAUUGAGGAAACCCACGUUUCUUUUUAUUUUCUAUUUCCCUGAGAAAGAACUAACAAACUGUUGGUGCCUGUAGUGCAAGCCAUGGUUAUAUUUUGCCCUAGGAUAAUGUCACUGGUCACCAUCUUUAUGUCUUCUACAUUUGCUAUCAAUUCAACUGUUGUUAUUUCCCCAAGUGAAUUUGAUAGAAAGCUCAAGCAAUAAUCUGCAAGUUUUCUCGGGACCUGACAGCUGGACUUCCUUAUCCUCCACACCCCAUGCCAGCAUCCUGUCUGUACCCCACACCAACGGACCAAUCAAUCCAGGGCCCAGCCCCUACCCGUGCCUGUGGACCAUCAGCAAUGGUGCCGGAGGCCCCAGUGGGCCAGGCCCGGAGGUGCACGCCAGCACCCCAGGAGCAUUUCUCCUCGGAAACCCAGCUGUGACUUCACCCCCUUCUGUGCUCUCCACCCAAGCACCCACUUCGGCUGGUGUGGAGGUUCUGGGGGAGCCCUCGCUAACCAGCAUUGCUGUGUCCACCUGGACAGCAGUGGCCUCGCAUCCCUUCGCGGGCUGGGGUGGCCCAGGAGCGGGUGGGCACCAUUCUCCUUCCUCACUGGAUGGUUAAGCAGGAUCCUAGGAGCCUCUUUGCACAGCGAUCCUUCCAUGUGUAGAGUGCUUAGAAACCCCAUCAACUGAUCUAGUGAGUCAGACUGUGGAAUCUCCCUUCCCACUAGCUGGAGGUGGAGGUGGGUUAUUACAGAAGUCAUACUGGGAGAGGGUUCAGUUUGGAUGAUGCUAGUUAGAUCAUUUGCAUCUCUCCACCAUUUUCUUCUGCACUCCCAUUUUCUCUGCAGCUUAUUCUUGCCAUGCUUAGGUGACAGAAGUUUGUUAAGUACCAUCCUUGUGCCCUGCCUCUUAUUCUCAAAUCGUUCUGGAAAGCCUCACUUCCUUUUCUGUGGAGAAGGUGCAAAGCUGUUAAAUGAGCUCAGAGUUUACCUAGCUAAGGCCACUGCUUCCUGCUUUGUGAAGCCUGGAAAGUAUGUGUGGCCACAGGGCUCAGGUUCACACUUCUGCUUUGAGACCAGGAUGGGGUGUAAGCCAUAGAGUAAGGUUAACAAAAAGAAUAAAGCUAAUCAUGUAUUACAAACAGCAGUGUGCCCAGACUUGUGGAAAUGAAGUCAUGUCACUCCUCUGCUCAGAAACCUUCAAUGGUUCACCAUUACCAGUGGAAUGAAGUCAAUUCUCCUCACUAUAACUGGGUGUGGUAGUUUAAGCCUAUAAUCUCAGCCCUUUUGGAGGCCAAGGUAAGAGGAUCGCUUGAGGUCAGGAGUUCGAGACCAGCUUGUGCAACAAAGUGAGAGCCUGUCUCUACAAAAAAUAGUCAUGCACACAAAAUUAGCUGGGCAUGGUGGCCUGUGCCUAUAGUCCCAACUACUUAGAGGAGGAUCGCUUGAUCUCAGGAGGUUGAGGCUGCAGUGAAUUAUGAUUGUGGCAUUGCACUCCAGCCUGGGUGGUAGAUCAAGGCUUUGUUUCAUUUGAAAAAAAAGAAAGAAAGAAAGAAAGAAAGAAAUCCUACUACGAGCGAUCACACCAUCUGGCCUGAAACCACUUCCCCAGCUUAGGUCCCUCUGUUAUCCUGUUGGCCUCCUAUGUAUUGGUCAAGGCAGGCAUCUCUGUUCUCUGAACAUUCAUUGCACUUUCCCACCUCUAUACCUUGCCUGUGCCUUAGUGUCCUCUUUUUUCCAGUUCACCUGUGCGAAUCCGACCCACCUCCCAGAGCCUGGCUGAAACGUCACUCCCUGCAUCCAACAUCUGAUCUGCUGAGAUAUGUCUGAUCUAUCUCUGCUCGCUGUUCUCCCGUUGUUUUUGCCUCUGCCAUAGAGCUCACCUCAUUUUGCCUUGUAUUUUUGUUACCUGUGAGUGUGUCUCUCCCUAUUAGACUGUAAGCCUCUCGAGGGUGAGGCCUAGCCUUCUUGUCUUUGUAACCCACAGCAGCUGGUACUGUGCCUUGCCUAUUGUAGGUGCCCAAUAAACAUUUGCUGAACUG
rnacentral:lncRNA from 10 species